CGUGAGAUGUUGGGUUAAGUCCCGCAACGAGCGCAACCCUUGCCAUUAGUUGCUACGAAAGGGCACUCUAAUGGGACUGCCGGUGACAAACCGGAGGAAGGUGGGAUGACGUCAGGUCAUCAUGGCCCUUAUGGGUAGGGCUACACACGUCAUACAAUGGCCGGUACAGAGGGCUGCCAACCCGCGAGGGGGAGCCAAUCCCAGAAAACCGGUCGUAGUCCGGAUCGUAGUCUGCAACUCGACUGCG
rnacentral:rRNA from 1 species